GACGAACGCUGGCGGCGUGCUUAACACAUGCAAGUCGAACGAAGUGGCGAACGGGUGAGUAACGCGUAAUCAACCUGCCCUUCAGAAGGGGACAACAGAUGGAAACGACCGCUAAUACCGCAUCCUGAUGGAGGGGAUUGCGUCUGAUUAGCUAGUUGGCGGGGUAACGGCCCACCAAGGCGAGGAUACGUAGCCGGUCUGAGAUGAUGAACUGCCCCAUUGGGACUGAGACACGUCCCAGACUCCUACGGGAGGCAGCAGUGGGGAAUCUUCCGCAAUGGACGAAAGUCAGACUGAGCAACGCCGCGUGAGGGAUGACGGCCUUCGGGUUGUAAAGCUCUGUUAAUCGGGACGCGGUACCGGAAUAGAAAGCCACGGCUAACUACGUGCCAGCAGCCGCGGUAAUAC
rnacentral:rRNA from 1 species